GUGGGGAAUCUUAGACAAUGGGGGAAACCCUGAUCUAGCCAUGCCGCGUGAGCGAUGAAGGCCUUAGGGUUGUAAAGCUCUUUCAGAUGGGAAGAUAAUGACGGUACCAUCAGAAGAAGCCCCGGCUAACUCCGUGCCAGCAGCCGCGGUAAUACGGAGGGGGCUAGCGUUGUUCGGAAUUACUGGGCGUAAAGCGCACGUAGGCGGACCAGAAAGUCAGAGGUGAAAUCCCAGGGCUCAACCUUGGAACUGCCUUUGAAACUCCUGGUCUUGAGGUCGAGAGAGGUGAGUGGAAUUCCGAGUGUAGAGGUGAAAUUCGUAGAUAUUCGGAGGAACACCAGUGGCGAAGGCGGCUCACUGGCUCGAUACUGACGCUGAGGUGCGAAAGCGUGGGGAGCAAACAGGAUUAGAUACCCGGGUAGCC
rnacentral:rRNA from 1 species